rnacentral:rRNA from 1 species
AACGAACGCUGGCGGCAUGCUUAACACAUGCAAGUCGAACGGAAAGGCCCUGCUUUUGUGGGGUGCUCGAGUGGCGAACGGGUGAGUAACACGUGAGUAACCUGCCCUUGACUUUGGGAUAACUUCAGGAAACUGGUGCUAAUACCGGAUAGGUGCUCCUGCUGCAGGGUGGGGGUUGGAAAGUUUCGGCGGUUGGGGAUGGACUCGCGGCUUAUCAGCUUGUUGGUGGGGUAGUGGCUUACCAAGGCAUUGACGGGUAGCCGGCCUGAGAGGGGGACCGGCCACAUUGGGACUGAGAUACGGCCCAGACUCGUACGGGAGGCAGCAGUGGGGAAUAUUGUACAAUGGGCGGAAGCCUGAUGAAGCAACGCCGCGUGCGGGAUGACGGCCUGCGGGUUGGAAACCGCUUUCGCCUGUGACGAAGCGUGAGUGACGGUAACGGGUAAAGAAGCACCGGCUAACUACGUG